GACAGAGGGUGCAAACGUUGUUCGGAAUUACUGGGCGUAAAGCGCGUGUAGGCGGCUUCGCAAGUCGGGUGUGAAAUCCCACGGCUCAACCGUGGAAGUGCAUUCGAAACUGCGAGGCUAGAGUCCUGGAGAGGAAGGUGGAAUGCUUGGUGUAGAGGUGAAAUUCGUAGAUAUCAAGCGGAACACCGGUGGCGAAGGCGGCCUUCUGGACAGUGACUGACGCUGAGACG
rnacentral:rRNA from 1 species